CCUACGGGUGGCAGCAGUGAGGAAUAUUGGUCAAUGGACGCAAGCCUGAACCAGCCAUGCCGCGUGCAGGCAGCCGGCCCUAUGAGUUGUAAACUGCUUUUGUACGAGGGUAAACGCAGAUACGCGUAUCUGUCUGAAAGUAUCGUACGAAUAAGGAUCGGCUAACUCCGUGCCAGCAGCCGCGGUAAUACGGAGGAUUCAAGCGUUAUCCGGAUUUAUUGGGUUUAAAGGGUGCGUAGGCGGUCGGAUAAGUUAGAGGUGAAAUCCCGAGGCUCAACUUCGGAAUUGCCUCUGAUACUGUUCGGCUAGAGAGUAGUUGCGGUAGGCGGAAUGUAUGGUGUAGCGGUGAAAUGCUUAGAGAUCAUACAGAACACCGAUUGCGAAGGCAGCUUACCAAGCUACGUCUGACGUUGAGGCACGAAAGCGUGGGGAGCAAACAGGAUUAGAUACCCUAGUAGUC
rnacentral:rRNA from 1 species